rnacentral:rRNA from 1 species
AUACGGAGGAUGCGAGCGUUAUCCGGAUUUAUUGGGUUUAAAGGGAGCGUAGGCGGGAGCUUAAGUCAGCGGUUAAAUGGUGCGGCUCAACCGUGCCCUGCCGUUGAAACUGGGUUUCUUGAGAGUGCAAGAGGCGGAUGGAAUUCAUGGGGUAGCGGUGGAAUGCUUAGAUAUCAUGAAGAACUCCGAUUGCGAAGGCAGUCCGCUGGGGCACGUCUGACGCUGAUGCUCGAAGGUGCGGGAAUCAAACAGGAUUAGAUACCCUGGUAGUCCGCACGGUAAACGAUGAUUACCCGCUGUCGGCGGUAGACAGUCGGCGGCCAAGCGAAAGCGAUAAGUAAUCCACCUGGGGAGUACGCCGGCAACGGUGAAACUCAAAUGAAUUGACGGGG